GCCCUGAUGGUCUAGUGGUUAAGACUCUGCACUUUGACUGCUGGGUUCCAGGUUCAAUUGCUGGUCAGGGAA
rnacentral:tRNA from 1 species